AUUGAACGCUGGCGGCAUGCUUUACACAUGCAAGUCGAACGGUAACAGGCCGCAAGGUGCUGACGAGUGGCGAACGGGUGAGUAAUGCAUCGGAACGUGCCCAGUCGUGGGGGAUAACGUAGCGAAAGCUACGCUAAUACAGCAUACGAUCUAUGGAUGAAAGCGGGGGACCGGAAGGCCCCGCGCGAUUGGAGCGGCCGAUAUCGGAGUAGGUAGUUGGUGGGGUACAGGCCUACCAAGCCGACGAUCUGUAGCUGGUCUGAGAGGACGACCAGCCACACUGGGACUGAGACACGGCCCAGACUCCUACGGGAGGCAGCAGUGGGGAAUUUUGGACAAUGGGCGAAAGCCUGAUCCAGCAAUGCCGCGUGUGUGAAGAAGGCCUUCGGGUUGUAAAGCACUUUUGUCCGGAAAGAAAUGGCUCUGGUUAAUACCUGGGGUCGAUGACGGUACCGGAAGAAUAAGGACCGGCUAACUACGUGCCAGCAGCCGCAGUAAAAC
rnacentral:rRNA from 1 species